UUGUAAUGUUAUUGUCAUGUUGAUGCUAUUGCUAUAUUAAAGAAUAUGAAAAGUGGCUCUUAGUCCCAUUCUUGAUGAUUGUCUUUCUCGUACUGUGUAAACGAACUUCAAGUAGGAAUUGUGUACUCAACAGGAAGCGUCGCAGCCUAGGUUUGGUUGGGGCCACCUCCGAUGUCGAUCUGCAGUAAUUGUUUUCUUCUAAAGUGGUUUUCCGAGGUAGGUUCUACCUAGAGCGAUUUGCCAGCAUCUUUCUAGGAUAUAGUUUACCUGUAUAAUGCAAAUGUCUCUUUCUAGGAUAUAGUGUUUACCUGUAUAAUGCAAAUGUCCAACACUUAGGUGCUUUAUAAGAUCAUCCUAUAUGAAAGAUGUAUUAUAUGUGUGGAUAAUGAAUGACUUGCCUGGUAUGCAAUCUGAACGUCCACAGAGUCAAAAAGGUCAGACCUAAUAAUCGAAAUGAGCUUAGCACAAUACGAUAUGGGAUAGAAACCUAAUCCUAGAAAACCCAUCACUGAACAAUCAUAGGAAUAGAAGAAAUAGGUUAAGACCAAGUGAAAGAACUCUCUAUGAGUUGGGCUACAUAAAAGAUCCUAUUCGCAAAUGGAUGUAGCUUAACCAAAUUGACCCAUAUCAACAACAAACGCUGGCAUACCCUUAUACUUCAGAGGUUGUUCCAGAAUCAAAACCUACAGGGCCUUCUCUGGGAUGAACUCGAAAAACCAGAAAGAAACAAAAGGGAGGAGUGGGAGCGCAAUCUCAUGACCUCGAGACAGUUUCGCGCCACAGAGCGGACCCUUUCAGAGUUCUCACACAGGGAAUGAUCAAAGAGAGACCACCUCGUGAGGACUAGAAAGAAUCCGGUGCACGAGCCAGAGGACGUGAGCCGCAGAUAUACUAACUUCUAGUGGAACGGGUUUGGUGGGGGAUCCUAAAUUCCUUGCUCGUAAACAGGCCUCCAUUGCAAAUGAGAACGAACUCUCGGGGUUCUGGAUGGAAUUUCCAAAUCCGAUCAAACGACUAUUUAUACCCGACGGAGGGUUCAUGUAGGUAGGUGUAGGCCAGACCGCUUGGUUCGAGGACCCGUUGGUCAAAGGGGAUUCCGGGAAGGAGCCGUAUGACGCGAUAGUUUCUACUCUUUAACUCUGGGCUGGGAGCGAGACCCUAAAAGAAGUUCAAUAAGCUAUGAGAAAAUAAGUUCAAUAAGCUAUUAAUAGUUUGAAAGGAAAGAUGGAAAGAGGGGAAUAGCUAGUUUGAAAGGAAAGAUGGAAAGAGGGGAAUAGCACGUAAUCAAAGGGAUAAUCGGAUAUAUGCUUCGUAAUCAAAGGGAUAAUCGGAUAUAUGCUUCGUAAUCAAAGGGAUAAUCGGAUAUAUGCUUCCCGAAGUUUCGCGCAUUUCUUAUGGUGGUAAAGUGAGACCACAUAAGAUAAGGAGCUCUUCCUCAUUCAGUCAGAUAUGGUGGGUUUUACCCUUUCUCUUUUUGUUUGAAUCUUCAUAUAGAAUUAAGGAACAACCCUUCCUUCCUCCCUGAAUUCAUUGAGUUGGAGGAAAGGAAUACACUUGAGGCCCGCCCGUUAUGCAUUGCAUGAAAGAACUGUAACUCACAUCGGUGAGGGCUGACUGCCCAGAUCCUGGUAGUACUGCUUUAGCAAAGCGAACGGUAGGUCGGACCAUUCUUCUGGAGCAAACCUUGCCUUUACAUAGCGGUGCCCUUUCGUUGUAGGCAAGACCCGACUUGCCCAUCAUCCAAUCCAUAACAAAUAGGGUGAAAGCCUUACUACUCAACACUCGAUUGAAAACCACCAUUACCACUAGAUUGAAAACCACCAUUACGUCGAAUCGGAAAAGGUUUGGAAUAGGGCUGAAGGUCAGUUCGGUGGUAAGAUCAGAAGGGUAGAUUCACGGGUGACUUCGGAGGGUGGGGAAGGAAAAGCUGGUGCUAAGCCGCCCUCACGUAAUGCCGCGCACAAGGAAGGGUUACAAGUUGGAUAUUAAUUCCUCCC
rnacentral:lncRNA from 1 species